rnacentral:lncRNA from 1 species
GUGAGGUUUGGCUUCCAUGAGGCGGCGAUUGGUGGCUACCGUGUGGUGGAGAUGGAGUGCUUCCCUGUGGUGGAGAUCCAUGGCUUCCAUGUGGCGGUGAUGGUACAGGUUGACCUGCUGGUGGAGAUCCGUGGCUUCCAUGUGGCGGUGAAUGGUGGCCUCCAUGUGGCGGUGAAUGGUGGCUUCCUUGUGGCGGAGAUCCUUGGCCUCCAUGUGGCGGUGAUGGUACAGGUUGACCUGCUGGUGGAGACCCGUGGCUUCCAUGUGGAGGCGAUCCGUGGCUUCCUUGUGGCGGAGAUCCUUGGCCUCCGUGUGGUGGUGAUGGUAUAGGUUGACCCGUUGGUGGCGAUUGAUGGCUACCAUGUGGCGGAGAAUGGUGGCUACCAUGUGGCGGCGAUUGGUGGCUUCCUUGAGGUGGAGAAGGUGUGCUUCCCUGUGGUGGAGAAGGUAUGCUUCCCUGAGGUGGGGAUCCCUGACUUCCAUGUGGCGGUGAUGGCACAGGUUGUCCAGUUGGUGGUGUGAUCUGGGACACUGGUGGUGGUGGUGGAUAAUGGAUUGAUGGAGUAGUUCCCUCUCUAGGCGGUGGUGGAGGGUGUAACUUUGUAUUUGGUGAACUCUCAGAAGUAGGCGGUGGUGGUGAUGGCUGAACAGAUGGCGGAUGUGGUGUAGGCAUGGUAGAAGGGGGUUGAGACGGUGUCGGAGUCGUUGGUGUCGUUGGAGUAGGAACUGACGUCGGAGUAGGAGCCGACGGUGACGUCGGAGUAGGAGCUGACGGUGUAUUGGGACCAGAAGGUGACGUCGGGGUAGGAGCUGACGGUGUAGUGGGAACAGAAGGUGACGUCGGAGAAGGAGUUGAAGGUGAAGUCGGAGUAGGAGAAGAUGACGGCGCCGGCGAUGAAACACCACCACAUUGUAGCUUCCUACAAUCAACAGGACGAGCAUCUCCAGAGGAACACUCCCUAACUGAUCGCUGGUUCGUCUUUCCAAUAAUACAAUUCUUCCCGUCAUCAAACACCUUACCACCACCACCUCCGGCAGCAGAGCACGACGGCGCUUCACCAGUGAA